rnacentral:rRNA from 1 species
GACGAACGCUGGCGGCGUGCCUAAUACAUGCAAGUAGAACGCUGAAGGAGGAGCUUGCUUCUCUGGACGAGUGGCGAACGGGUGAGUAACGCGUAGGUAACCUGCCUGGUAGCGGGGGAUAACUACUGGAAACGAUAGCUAAUACCGCAUAAGAGUAGAUGUUGCAUGACAUUUGCUUAAAAGGUGCAAUUGCAUCGCUACAAGAUGGACCUGCGGUGUAUUAGCUUGUUGGUGGGGUAACGGCUUACCUAGGCGAGGAUACAUAGCCGAACGGAGAGGGUGAUCAGCCACACUGGGACGGUGACAGGGCCCAUACUCCCUCAGGAGGCAGCAGUAGGGAAUCUGCGGCAAUGGACGGAAGUCUGACCGAGCAACGCCGCGUGAGUGAAGAAGAUUGUCGGGUCGUAGAGCUCUGUUGUAAGAGAAGAACGAGUGUGAGAGUGUAAAGUUCACACUGUGACGGUAUCUUACCAGAAAGGGACGGCUAACUACGUG